AUAUCACAUUAUAGGUAAGGGUAGAACUUCCCUUAAUAAAGGUGGAGGUGGUUCUAACGACCUAUAAAGCACACAUAUGAUUAAGGAAUUGCCAACAAGUUUCUGGCAUCUAACUAUGACUUUUA
ensembl:snRNA